GGUAAGAUGACUGAAGAAAAUAGGUGAUAGACUGUAAAUCUAUUCAUGGGAGUGAUCUCUCUUACUA
rnacentral:tRNA from 1 species